GGCGAACGCUGGCGGCGUGCUUAACACAUGCAAGUCGAACGGAAAGGCCCUGCUUUUGUGGGGUGCUCGAGUGGCGAACGGGUGAGUAACACGUGAGUAACCUGCCCUUGACUUUGGGAUAACUUCAGGAAACUGGGGCUAAUACCGGAUAGGAGCUCCUGCUGCAUGGUGGGGGUUGGAAAGUUUCGGCGGUUGGGGAUGGACUCGCGGCUUAUCAGCUUGUUGGUGGGGUAGUGGCUUACCAAGGCUUUGACGGGUAGCCGGCCUGAGAGGGUGACCGGCCACAUUGGGACUGAGAUACGGCCCAGACUCCUACGGGAGGCGGCAGUGGGGAAUAUUGCACAAUGGGCGGAAGCCUGAUGCAGCAACGCCGCGUGCGGGAUGACGGCCUUCGGGUUGUAAACCGCUUUCGCCUGUGACGAAGCGUGAGUGACGGUAAUGGGUAAAGAAGCACCGGCUAACUACGUG
rnacentral:rRNA from 1 species